AAGGGUGCGUAGGUGGUCUAAUAAGUCAGUGGUGAAAUCUCUUUGCUUAACAAGGAAAUUGCCAUUGAAACUGUUAGACUUGAGAAUGGACGAGGUAGGCGGAAUUCGUAGUGUAGCGGUGAAAUGCAUAGAUAUUACGAAGAACUCCAAUAGUGUAGACUGCUUACCAGACCAUAUCUGACACUAAGGCACGAAAGUGUGGGUAUCAAACAGGAUUAGAUACCCUGGUAGUCCACACAGUAAACGAUGAAUACUAACUGUUUGCGAUAUACAGCAAGUGGUCGAGCGAAAGCGUUAAGUAUUCCACCUGGGAAGUAUGCCGGCAACGGUGAAACUCAAAGGAAUUGACGGGGGCCCGCACAAGCGGAGGAACAUGUGGUUUAAUUCGAUAAUACGCGAGGAACCUUACCCGGGCUCGAACGAUAUUUGAAUACAUCCGAAAAGAUGUAGCUAGCAGUAGCAAAUACCGAGGUGCUGCAUGGUUGUCGUCAGCUCGUGCCGUGAGGUGUCGACUUAAGUGUCAUAACGAGCGCAACCCUUACCGAUAGUUACCAUCAGAUAAUGCUGGGGACUCUAUUGGGACUGCCACCGUAAGGUGUGAGGAAGGAGAGGAUGACGUCAAAUCAGCACGGCCCUUAUGUCCGGGGCGACACACGUGUUACAAUGGGAGAAACAAAGGGUCGCUACCUGGCAACAGGAUGCUAAUCUCGAAAAUCUCUCUCAGUUCGGAUUGGAGUCUGCAACUCGACUCCAUGAAGCUGGAUUCGCUAGUAAUCGCACAUCAGCCAUGGUGCGGUGAAUACGUUCCCGGGCCUUGUACACACCGCCCGUCAAGCCAUGGAAGCUGGAAGUACCUGAAGUAUGUAACUAAAAGAGCGUCCUAAGU
rnacentral:rRNA from 1 species